GCCGGGCGUGGUGGCACAUACCUGUAGUCUCAGCUACACGGGAGGCUGAGGUGGGAGGAUCGCUUGAGCCCAGGAGUUCUGGGUUGCAGUGCACUAUGCCAAUCGGGUGUCCUCACUAAGUUUGGCAUCAGUAUGGCGACCUACCGGGAGUGGGGAACCACCAGGUUGCCUGAGGAAGGGUGAAUCAGCCCAGGUCAGAAAAGGAGCAGGUCAAAACUUUGGUGCUGAUCAGUAGUGGGAUUGCGCCUGUGAAUAGCCACUGCACUUCAGCCUGAGAAACAUAGAAAGACCCUGUCUCUA
rnacentral:SRP_RNA from 1 species